rnacentral:rRNA from 1 species
UACGUAGGGUGCAAGCGUUAUCCGGAAUUAUUGGGCGUAAAGAGCUCGUAGGCGGUUUGUCACGUCUGCUGUGAAAACUGGAGGCUCAACCUCCAGCCUGCAGUGGGUACGGGCAGACUAGAGUGUGGUAGGGGAGACUGGAAUUCCUGGUGUAGCGGUGAAAUGCGCAGAUAUCAGGAGGAACACCGGUGGCGAAGGCGGGACUCUGGGCCGAUACUGACGCUGGAGGAGCGAAAGCGUGGGGAGCGAACAGG